GGGCCGGACGCGUGUUGGUUGCAGGCAGCGGACUCAUAAUCCGCCGGAAAUUCCCACCGUGGGUUCGAAUCCACCCGGCCCACCA
rnacentral:tRNA from 1 species